ensembl:lncRNA
AACAAACACAUUAAAGAAUUCAAGAGAGGUACUUGCCCUGGUGAUCCAAUGGCUAAGACUCUGAGCUCCCAAUGCAGGGGCCUGGGGUUCGAUCCCUGGUCAGCUACUACAGAUCUCGAGUGCCCCAACUAAGACCCCAACUCAGCAAAAUUAAAAAAAAAAAAAAGAAUUAAAGACAAGCAAAACACAAACUGCAUACAUAAAGGCUAGCAUCCAAAGAAACAAAUGAACUGGUUCACAAAUUAGGCAGAAGUCCAACUCUUUCCUCUCUCCAACAGGGUAUCCCACUCAAAGACAAAACAAAUUGGCUUAUUCCAGAGAAAAAGCCCCAAAAGGAGAAGAAAUAGAGUUCCCAACUGUACGCGCCCUCAGAGAGACUUACGGUUACUGUUUGGAGCCUGUCUGCUCCCAAAUAUUGAUUCCUUGUUCCAACUGCCCAGCGCUGGAACAACCAGUGCGGCUUUGGGGAGUUUUGAAGGAAGAGCCUCAGGACAAGUGGUCUUGCCAGCUGCUAGGGCCUUACCCCCAAAUCCCCCAACCGUCAGCUCGCCAUGAGUGGCAAGGUAAGGCAGGCCAAUAAAUGGAGAGAGGAGUUGCUAGGACAAGGAACAGCGACUUCAUUCAGAAAGCCACCAAACCAAGAUGAUGGUGGACUCGAAAGAUCCACCUUACCUGCGCUAGAAUUCAGGCUUCUUUUAUACUAAAAGGGGAGGGCGUGUAGCUAAACAUUUCCGGUUCCGGUUAGCCUUCAGAAGGGGCUGUGCUAAUUUCUUCUGCCUACACUCCUGCACAUGUGGGCCUGGUCAGGAGACUUCUUGUGAGCUAACCAAAGUAUUUCAGCUUAAUGCUCAUUACCUGGGAGGCAGGGUUCCCAGAGAUGGGCCAUUGUGUAUAAUUUAAGCUUAUAGGCAACAUCCUUGAGGUGAUUAACUUGCAAUAGGGUACACAGGUUCUGCCCUAUUACAUCAGAUCUUAAUUUAAUUUGCUAUUUGACCUGUUCAGAAUGACUGAAUUAUCAGAAACUUCAUGGAUGAACAUUAGGACGCAGCAGCUGUUGGAAACGCAGCGUCAGCAGUCCCUGUCAGGUUAUGCCCAGUCCCUAACACCGCCCUCUCCCAGACCCCAUCACAGCCGGCCACUUAGCUCUGCAGCCCGACCUGCUCACGUGGUGCUCAGCGCCCGUGCGCGGCCUGGUCUCUCAACACAGUGCCACCCGCUUCCCCUACAGCCUCCUAGACCCACCCUUCCUCGAGGCCAAGUGUCAAUAACCAGGAUCCUCGCCGGGAAACCUUGGGUUCCAGCUAUUCCCCCAGAGGCCUCCAUUAGGGGGCUUUGCACCCAGCGGCGUCCGCAGCGCCCUCCGGGAUAGCGAGCACCCCAGGGCUCCCUCACCCUGGGCUGUACACAUCCCCGCCACCAACAGGGCUCAGGGGCCAGGGCAGGAUCCCUGGUGGAGGGCGAGAUGGCGGGAUGAGUGCACCUCCUGGGUAACCGGACUCGUAGCGCUAGAGGUGAGAGUGGGUGUCUAUCCGAGGGGCUCAUCCGGUACCCAGCCCACGGUGCGCUAGUCUGCCUCACGUGGACACCCGGCCCCCAACCUUUUAUCUUCAUGCCCUGGCCUGCCUUCCAGUCCUCCACCCGGGCCCAGGACGCUGGAGCCCGCAGCGCAGCACUCGGUACUUCGGGGAGGCGAAGCCAGCACGCCGGUGGCACGGACGUCCGGGGCUUGCGGGUCUACUCAAGCAAAACCCAUCUUUCUAGCAGGAGUGAAAAAAGCCGGAGCGAGCAAAAGUAUUGUGCCCCGUGUGAGGAUCGAACUCACGACCUUCAGAUUAUGAGACUGACGCGCUACCUACUGCGCUAACGAGGCACCUACGAGUAGCUUCCGGGAGCAGGAUAAUGAGGCUGUUGCGGCGGCCCAGUGCGCAUGCUCAGAAAAUCACAGCUUCACUUUUCUCCGCAGAGUUUCUGACCCGGGACACCGAAGUUCCCGCCGGGGCGCUUGCCUUACUUGAACCAUCCACGCCUCUCUGGUCUUCUUCCGCCUGAUGGUCUGGUUAUCAAUCAACAAACACUGCGGCUUAUUGGACCCCCGGCGCUGAGUAGGGGAGACCCUGGGCCGCGAGAUUCUUCCUACUCUUGAGUGAUUACUGAAGAUUCCAAGUUUGAAGUGUUUCAAAAGAUAAGACCAUCUGAUGGACCGACGAGCCUAAGGACAGAGGUGGAGAAAGCGAGAGGCUGCAAGAGUCGGGAAGUCGUGCAUGGAGUAGGUUGUCUGGAUCCCAGACCUCGUGGGCUGGAUGUAACUUGGAUACCUUGUAACUUGGAUACCCAGUCCUGGGGAUGCUUUCCCCACAUCACGGUCCCCAGUGGGAAACCCACAAUCUCCCAAUCCCCGCCCCCCGCCAGAACCCGACAGAGCGGAGGGUUUGGAGGAGAACAGAGGGCCAGGCAGAAGGCCAAACGAGAGACCCCGCCCCCAACACACACACACACACACACACACACACACACA